UACAACAGCAGUCGGGGAAAGAAGACCAAAGACAACGCCUCCUCUGGAACCGACCCGCUGAAGCCGGGCCCUCACUGCUGUUCCCACUACACUCUCCCCUUGACAACUUCCCCCAUAUAUAUUGUUAAAAUCGAUAACGGCCGUCACCGGGCUGCUAUGCAGUACCUAAGUUUUUACAUAUAAGUGAUGUUAUUUUAUUGUGAUAAUUCAAUAAAGCACCAUUCGUGCGCGUCACUAUUAGAACGACGAAAGCCGGCACUCCUUGGAGUGUCCUGCAAAUACCGAAUCUAGCCAAAUGCCUCGUCAUCUAAUUAGUGACGCGUAUGAAUGGAUCAACAAGAUUCCUUCUGUCCCUAUCUACUAUCUAGCGAAACCACAGCCAAGGGAACGGGCUUGGCAAAAUCAGCGGGGAAAGAAGACCCUGUUGAGCUUGACUCUAGUCUGACUCUGUGAA
rnacentral:ncRNA from 1 species